AUAGCGUAUAUUAAAGUUGUUGCAGUUAAAAAGCUCGUAGUUGAACUUCAGACCUGGCUGGGCGGUCCGCUUAACGGCGUGUACUGUUCGGCUGGGCCUUACCUCUUGGUGAGCCGGCGUGCCCUUUAUUGGUGUGCGUCGGGGAACCAGGACUUUUACCUUGAGAAAAUUAGAGUGUUCAAAGCAGGCCUAUGCCCGAAUACAUUAGCAUGGAAUAAUAAAAUAGGACGUGCGGUUCUAUUUUGUUGGUUUCUAGAGUCGCCGUAAUGAUUAAUAGGGAUAGUUGGGGGCAUUGGUAUUGAGUCGCUAGAGGUGAAAUUCUUGGAUUGACUCAAGACCGACUAUUG
rnacentral:rRNA from 1 species